CUGGGAAUUUGGAGGAAAUCUUGGGAAGAUGUAUACAAGAGAGACCUUCUUCCAAGGUGUUUUGGUGUCAAAAAGUUAGAUUGAAACAAUAUUAUUAUUUGAAAGAAAAGAAAUGAAAAAGGAAACUUAACAGUUUUGACACCACCCUCUUGUCAACAAAGAAAACCUCCAUC